GACAGAGGGUGCAAACGUUGUUCGGAAUUACUGGGCGUAAAGUGCGUGUAGGCGGCUUGGCAAGUCGGGUGUGAAAGCCCUGGGCUCAACCUAGGAAGUGCACUCGAAACUGCCUCGCUGGAGUGCCGGAGAGGAAAGCGGAAUUCUCGGUGUAGAGGUGAAAUUCGUAGAUAUCGAGAGGAACACCGGUGGCGAAGGCGGCUUUCUGGACGGUUACUGACGCUGAGACGCGAAAGCGUGGGGAGCAAACAGG
rnacentral:rRNA from 1 species